rnacentral:lncRNA from 1 species
AUGAAAUUUUGCACAUAACCAAAAAAAUGUAAUUUUGUUGGGGAGCAGGAUUGCACAUGUGAUGUAAGAUAAAGAUAUAAGUACUGUUAGACAUGAAACCUACUCGCGCACAUGUCAAUCUCAACAUGCAUCUUGUUGUUCCGUGCAACGCACGGGCAUCUUACUAGUGUUAUCCUAAAAUUGGCUAACUGUGGCUCAUAUUGUUUUCCCCAGGUAGCUCAUGGUGAGUGAUGCGUGAGCCGUCUCGAUCCUUUUGCUAUGUUAUUAUAUUUUAGCCAUGAAGGAUUUACUGCUUGUCAGUUCGUAGUGGUUCCGGCUGUUUGCUGAACUUCUGUUCUUGCUUGUGCUAUUUUUUUUACUGUUUAGAUGGCUCAAUUUACUUCCAAUUUUACUCUUGAGUUUUCCCAUGCAUGCAUACUCUGUUAAUUUAUUCCGAGUGCCCAUAGUUCCCUCUCUAGCAGCAUCACCUGUGCUCUUGUCUCACCCAUAACAACAAUUUACUAGUAGUAUGUCUCUUGGCAUGGGUGCUAGCUUAGGUCCCUUCUACUACUACUCCACUUAGUAACUUGUCUAUAUUCUAUUACUUUGUACCUAUGUGUGUGAGCUGUGUUAUAUUCAUAUUCCUCAAGUACUACAACAUUGGUAGUUGUACACUUAUGAUGGUGAUUCGCUCCGGCCAUUCCAGUUUUGGCGGUGGUGGUGCUGCUGCUCCUAUGAUGGUAGACUCGUCUGAUUCCCCUAGCCGCAUCCAAGGUGAUGAAGCUCGGCCUAGGCUAGCACCCCCUCCAGUGAGCUCCUCAGGUCCUCUUAUACCCCUCCUACUUGCUUGUUGGUUCUAUGCUCUGCCUUUGUGAGGGGUAAUUGUUCAAUUUUGUUCAUAGUCGAGCAUUGGAUGAUAUUGUAUUUGUCAUGAUGUACAUGGUUCAUGAACUAUGCCAACCUGCAGCUUUGUUGUACUAGUGAUAGUAGGAUAAUGCAAGUUUUGACAAUCCAUGCAUAUUUCCGCAUCAUAAUAAUCUUCUUCUUCUAGUCUUCUUCUUCUAACUUUCUUCUUUCCCAUUUUACAGAUUUGCUUAAGAUCACGGAAGCUUGGGUUGAUGGAGUGCUUGUAUUUAGUUUUUGUUUUGACGUUGUGAAACUUGCUACGUAUGGAUGAAACCGUGUAAUAUUGAUGAAACUAUGUAUAUGUACGGAUGAAACUUGCUACUAUUGGUAACAUGUGUUGGAUAUAUAUGUGUUCAUGACUAUUGGUAAUAUGUGUUGAAUAUGCUAUAUUGGUCAUAUAAAUAUAUUUGUGUUUGAUUUUCUGUGAAAAGGAACUGAUAUAAGAAAAAAACAAAAUUAAAUGGGGCAAUAUAGUCACUUUGCAAUCUGCUGGCAGAUGGCAAAGAGCUUUGCCAUCUGCCGGCAGAUGGCAAAGAGGCCACGUGUCAUCUACAUGUAAAAUUUGGGCUGGCCUAUUUGGGCUCUUUGCCAUCUGCUAGCAGACGGCAAAAAGCCUGCAGCCUUUGCCAUCUGCUGGCAGACGGCAAAGUAUGUCGUUAGCCUUCUAAUGGGGCUAACCCCGUUAAGAGGCUUUGCCAUCUGCCAGCUGAUGGCAAAGGCACAAGCUCUUUGCCAUCAGUCAGCAGACGGCAAAGAAGCCUUUACCGGCAGGGUUUCAGACAAACUGUUUGCCAUCCGCCGACCAUGCCUUUUCGAUCUGCCAUGUUUUUAAAUUUUUCUAACCAAUAUCAACAAUGUUUUAUAUGUAUACACAAAUAUACAAUGUGUAAAAAAAAUAUAGACAUCAAAAUGUAUGUAUGAAAAUAUGUUUUUUUGUUGGAAAUAUAUGAAAAUAUGUUAAUCAUGUAUUUGAAAAAAAUUAAACAUAUAUAAACAAUAUGUACAAUGUAUCUUAAAAAAUGUAGACAUGUGUUCAAAAUAUUAGACAUCAAAAUAUUUAUUAAAAAUGUUAAGCAUGUAACUAAAAACUGUUUAAUAUCUAUAAAAAAUGUUUCUUGUGUACACAAAAUUGUUCAUAAAAUGUGGUAUAAUAUUCUUGAAAAAUGGUGAAGUUUUUUUACAACAAAUAUUUGUUAUGUUCUUCACAAAAAAACUCAUUUUGGGAACUCGAAAAAUAGAAAAUGAAUAUGCCCGAAUUUGUCUUUUUCACGAGAGGUGGAUCAAAAACUUUUUACACCCAACCAUUUGGUCAAUUUUACAUUAAAUAUGGCCUAAUAUAUUAGACAUUUGAUUUGGUCCAAUUUUGCAACAAUUAUUUGGUAGGUUCUUCACAAAAAAAAACUCAUUUUGGGAGCUCAAAAAAUGGAAAAUGAUUUUUUCGUCCAAAGAAAAUGAAAACUUCCUUAGGCAACAUUGUUUGCCAUUGCAAUAUGCACCAUUAUGCACAAUAUGAGAUCAUUUGAACAAAUGCCAUGACUGUGGCCAUAAGGUUGAUCAUUUGGAGUGAAAGCCAUUGAUCUGCACACAUGAUAGCUCGCCUCUGAGAUCACUUUUUAAAAAUAGUUGUCAUAUUACAAGUUUAUUAUUUUUCCUCGGAACUUGGCCACAUAUAAUGACACAAUGCGAAGGUUUCCCAAUUUUUCGAUUUUUUUAAUUUUUCAUGCCUGUUUCAAAAUGCGGUCAAAACGGCGGGCAUGACCGUUCCUAGCUAAUGCUUGAAUAUUCGAAAACUUUUGGUGUUUCUCUGAUUAAAUAGAUAUUUUUGUACCUAAAAAUGAUUUUUGGGGAAAAUAAAGAGCAAACUAUGAGGCAGCUGCAGUUCAAAUUUGACCCGCUUCCAAGUAAUUCAGCAGAAAUUUGUCUUUUUCAUGAGAGGUGGAUAAAAGCUUUUCAUACCCAACCAUUUGGUCAAUUGUGCAUUAAAUGUGGCCUAGUAUUUUAGAAAUUUGAUUUGGUCCAAUUUUGCAACAAUUAUUUGGUAGGUUCUUCAGAAAACAACCACAUUUUGCGCACUCAAAAAAUGGAAAAUGAUUUUUUUGUCCAAAGAAAAUGAAAAGUUACUUAGGCAACAUUGUUUGCCAAUUCAAUAUGCAACGUUGUGCACAAUAUGAGAUCAUUUGAACAAACUAUGCCAGGAAUGUAGCAAUAAGAUUGAUCAUUUGGCUUGAAAGCCAAUGAUCUCCACACAUCAUAGCUCGUCUCUGAGAACACUUUUUUAAAAUAAUUAUCGUAUUACAAGUUUAUUAUUUUUCUUGGUAACUUGGCCACAUAUAAUUACACAAUGUGAAGGUUUCCCAAUUUUUUGAUUUUUUUUGAAUUUUUCACGCUCGUUUCAAAAUGCGGUCAAAACGGACGGCAUGACCGUUCCUAGCUAGUGGUUGAAUAUUGGAAAACUUUUGGUGUUACUAUGAUUAAAUAUAUACUUUUGUACCUAAAAAUGAUUUUUGGGAAAAAUAAAGAGCAAACUAUGAGGCAGCUGCAGUUCAAAUUUGACCCGCUUCCAACUAACUCGGCAAAAAUUUGUCUUUUUCACGAGAGGUGGAUAAAACCUUUUUAUACCCAACCAUUUGGUCAAUUGUGCAUUAAAUAUGGCCUAGUAUUUUAGAAAUUUGAUUUGGUCCAAUUUUGCAACAAUUAUUUGGUAGGUUCUUCACAAAACAACCUCAUGUUGGGCACUCGAAAGAUGGAAAAUGAUUUUUUUUCGUCCAAAGAAAAUGAAAAGUUCCUUAGGCAACAUUGUUUGCCAAUUCAAUAAGCACCCUUGUGCACAAUAUGUGAUCAUUUGAAUAAACUAUGCCAUGAAUGUGGCCAUAAGAUUGAUCAUUUGGCUUGAAAGCCAGUGAUCUCCACACACCAUAGCUCGUCUCUGAGAACACUUUUUAAAACUAAUUAUCGUAUUACAAGUUUAUUAUUUUUCCUGGUAAUGUGGCCACAUAUAGUGACACAAUGCAAAUGUUUCCCAAUUUUUUGAUUUUUUUGAUAUUUUCAUGCCCGUUUCAAAAUGCAGUCAAAAUGGAGGGCAUGAUCGUUCCUAGCUAGUGGUUGAAUAUUGGAAAACUUUUGGUGUUUCUAUGAUUAAAUAGAUACUUUUUCACCUAAAAAUGAUUUUUGGGAAAAAUAAAGAGCAAACCAUGAGGCGGCUGCAGUUCAAAUUUGACCCGCUUCCAACUGAUUCGGUAGAAAUUUGUCUUUUUCACGAGAGGUGGAUAAAAGGUUUGAUACCCAACCAUUUGGUCAAUUGUGCAUUAAAUAUGGCCUAGUAUUUUAGAAAUUUGAUUUGGUCCAAUUUUGCAACGAUUAUUUGGUAGGUUCUUCACAAAAAUACCUCAUUUUGGGCACUCAAAAAAUGGAAAAUGAUUUUUUUCGUCCAAAGAAAAUGAAAAUUUCAUUAGGCAACAUUGUUUGCCAUUCCAAUAUGCACCCUUGUCCACAAUAUGAGAUCAUUUGAACAAACUAUGCCAUGAAUGUGGCCAUAAGAUUGAUCAUUUGGUUUGAAAGCCAUUGAUCUCCACAAAUGAUAGCUCGUUUCUGAGAACACUUUUUUAAAAUAAUUAUCGUAUUACAAGUUUAUUAUUUUUCCUGGUAACUUGGCCACAUAUAAUGGCACAAUGCGAAGGUUUCCUAAUUUUUUUUAUUUUUUUUUUUGAAUUUUUCAUCCCCGUUUCAAAAUGUGGUCAAAACGGCGGGCUUGACAAUAUCUGAAAACUUUUGGUGUUUCUCUUAUUAAAGAGAUACUUUUGUACCUAAAAAUGAUUUUUGGGAAAAAUAAAGAGCAACCUAUGAGGCAGUUGCAGUUCAAAUUUGACCCGCUUCCAACUAAUUCGGCAGAAAUUUGUCUUUUUCACGAGAGGUGGAUAAAAGCUUUUCAUACCCAACGAUUUGGUCAUUUGUGCAUUAAAUAUGGCCUAGUAUUUUAGAAAAUUGAUUUGUUGCAAUUUUGCAACAAUUAUUUGGUCGGUUCUUCACAAAAAACCUCAUUUUGGGCACCCAAAAAGUGAAAAAUGAUUUUUUCAUCCAAAGAAGAUGAAAACUUCCUUAGGCAACAUUGUUUGCCAUUCCAAUAUGCACCCUUGUGCACAAUAUGAGAUCAUUUGAACAAACUAUGCCAUGAAUGUGGCCAUAAGAUUGAUCAUUUGGCUUGAAAGCCAUUGAUCUCCAAACAUGAUAGCUCGUUUAUGAGAACACUUUUUUCAAAUAAUUAUCGUAUAACAAGUUUAUUAUUUUUCCUGGCAACUUGGCCACAUAUAAUGACACAAUGCGAAGGUUUUCCAAUUUUUUUUAAUUUUUCAUGCCCAUUUCAAAAUGCGGUCAAAACGGCGGGCAUGACCUUUCCUAGCUAGUGGUUGAAUCUUGGAAAACUUUUGGUGUUUCUCUGAUUAAAUAGAUACUUUUGUACCUAAAAAUGAUUUUUAGGACAAAUAAAGAGUAAGAUAUGAUGUAGGUGUAGUUCAAAUUUUACCUGCUUCCAGCUGAUUUGGAAGGACCCCGUUUAAAUGGCCAAAAAUAGAUAGAAAGAUUGGAAAUGCAUUAAAGUUGGUGAUCAUUCAUAAAAUGUGGUAUAAUUUGAUUGCAAAUUUUAGUGGUGCCAUUUUGCAAAAUAAUACUGGCAGUUGCUUCACAUUUUACUAUGUUUUUAGCACUUAAACUAUUUUAAAUGACAAAAGUAUCGAACCAAUCAGGAUCUCUCUCCCAGAUCGCCCCACUCUAUGCAAUCUGAACCGUCCACGGCGUAUGGAUCCAACGUCCACCCUCUCACCCAUCCACACCCACCCACUCUCCCCUGCACACCACUCAUCCCCGGCAUGACCCUCCUCUCUCUCUCAGAUCCAUACGCCGCCACCGCCAUCCUCAUGGAUCCAUCCGGGCCUCGCCAGUCGCCACGAACCAAGGCUGGCAACGUCUACCAAGCACCGGAUCUGAUAGCAGCCCUCACCCCCUCAGCCCCAUGCACCCACGGCUGCCACCCCCAACCCUCUCCCUCCCUCUCUGAUCUCGAUCUGCCCUGCUCUCCACCGCCUACCUCGGCCUCGUCGGAGAUAGAGGCGUCGCCACCCAGCAACCAUGGCUGGCUUGCUCGCCGGCGUGCACGACGCUCCAUCAAGCUGGCCGGACUACGACGCGCGCGUGGCCUGGCUAGGGUCUUUGGCCACCAGGACGGGGCGGUGCCAUCGGCUCCCUCGGCUCCGGCGACUGCGACCACGACUGGUGAAUAGCGGCGGUCGUCUCUCCUAGGUGAUAGAUGAGAUCCAUCUCCCUCCCGCCUUUAUCCUUGGUUCGUUCUCGCUUGCUGCGUCAGAUCUGUUCGCUUCCAGGUUGGUAGGUUGGUCAUUGGAUCGAGAUUGAUUCCAUGCCGCCCACGAUUCUCCAUAGUGACGCUCCUUAAACCUGGAGCCCAGUAAAAGUAUCCCCCGUCCUGUUUUGGGUCAACAGUGGAGUAG